GCCGCCUUAGCUCAGAGGUAGAGCAGCGGUUUCGUAAACCGCGGGUCUGGGGUUCAAUUCCCCAAGGCGGCU
rnacentral:tRNA from 1 species